rnacentral:rRNA from 1 species
AGAGUUUGAUCCUGGCUCAGGAUGAACGCUGGCGGCGUGCUUAACACAUGCAAGUCGAACGGAGAAUUGAAGCUUGCUUCAAUUCUUAGUGGCGGACGGGUGAGUAACGCGUGGGUAACCUGCCCUUAAGUGGGGGACAACAGUUGGAAACGACUGCUAAUACCGCAUAAAGUUAAGAGCCUGCAUGGGCUUUUAACCAAAGGAGUAAUCCGCUUUUGGAUGGACCCGCGUCUGAUUAGCUAGUUGGUGGGGUAAUGGCCCACCAAGGCUACGAUGGUUAGCUGGUCUGAGAGGAUGAUCAGCCACACUGGAACUGAGACACGGUCCAGACUCCUACGGGAGGCAGCAGUGGGGAAUUUUGCGCAAUGGGGGAAACCCUGACGCAGCAACGCCGCGUGAGUGAUGAAGGCCUUCGGGUCGUAAAGCUCUGUCAGAGGGGAAGAAAUGAGAUUGGCUAAUAUCCAAUUUUCUUGACGGUACCCUCAAAGGAAGCACCGGCUAACUACGUGCCAGCAGCCGCGGUAAUACGUAGGUGGCGAGCGUUAUCCGGAUUUACUGGGCGUAAAGGAUGCGUAGGCGGAUGUUUAAGUGAGAUGUGAAAUACCCGGGCUUAACUUGGGUGCUGCAUUUCAAACUGGAUAUCUAGAGUGCGGGAGAGGAGAAUGGAAUUCCUAGUGUAGCGGUGAAAUGCGUAGAGAUUAGGAAGAACACCAGUGGCGAAGGCGAUUCUCUGGACCGUAACUGACGCUGAGGCAUGAAAGCGUGGGUAGCAAACAGGAUUAGAUACCCUGGUAGUCCAC